UCCUGCACACCACCCUGAACACACCCAAGUUGGUCUGAUCUCAAAAGCUAAGCAAGAUCAGGUCUGGUUAGUACCUGGAGGGAAAAGACCAGUAGGAACUUUAGGCAGGAC
rnacentral:rRNA from 1 species